rnacentral:rRNA from 1 species
AGUAAAAGUCGUAACAAGGUCUCCGUAGGUGAACCUGCGGAGGGAUCAUUACACAAUAACAAGGCGGGCUGGACACCCCCCGCUGGGCACUGCUUCACGGCGUGCGCGGCGGGGCCGGCCCUGCUGAACUAUUCACCCGUGUCUUUUGCGUACUUCUUGUUUCCUGGGUGGGCUCGCCCGCCCUCAGGACCAACCACAAACCUUUUGCAAUAGCAAUCAGCGUCAGUAACAACGUAAUUAAUUACAACUUUCAACAACGGAUCUCUUGGUUCUGGCAUCGAUGAAGAACGCAGCGAAAUGCGAUACGUAGUGUGAAUUGCAGAAUUCAGUGAAUCAUCGAAUCUUUGAACGCACAUUGCGCCCUCUGGUAUUCCAAAGGGCAUGCCUGUUCGAGCGUCAUUUGUACCCUCAAGCUUUGCUUGGUGUUGGGCGUCUUUUGUCUCCAGUUCGCUGGAGACUCGCCUUAAAGUCAUUGGCAGCCGGCCUACUGGUUUCGGAGCGCAGCACAAGUCGCGCUCUUUGCCAGCCAAGGUCAGCGUCCAGCAAGCCUUUUUUUCAACCUUUGACCUCGGAUCAGGUAGGGAUACCCGCUGAACUUAAGCAUAUCAAUAAGCGGAGGCACAAGAAACCAACAGGGAUUGCCCUAGUAACG